UAUGUGUUGCUCUGAUUGGUUGAUCAAUAAAGCUCUUUGGCCAAUAGUGAUGCAGGAUAGGGUUAGGCGGGACAUUCUAACUAGAGAGGAGGAAGGAGAAAGGCAGAGCUGAGGAGACGCUGCUAGCCACCUCCAGGAGAAGCAAGAUGUAAAGUAGUGUUUAUUGUUUUCUAUUGGCAAGGCCUGAGCAAGUUCAGCUGACCUGGUCUUGAACGUCAUCAUUCCUCAUUCAGUAUAUCUUCUCAUAGUUAUGAGGACCAGUCAGCAUCUCCUGGAGCAGUUUCCGUUGGUAUUCAACAAUACACACAAGACUCUUGGCAAUCGGCUUCUGAAGGAAUACAGGAAGAGGAAAUAUAAAGAAAUGAAAUGUGCAGUGUUGGAGAACUUGACUAUGGAGGGUCCAAGGUAAACUGGAGCUGAAUAAAGGUGGCUUGAAAGGAUGAAAUGACUGAACCACUGAUAACUCAGCAACCUGCUGGAG